CUCAUUAAAAGAGUGCGUAAUAGCUCACUGGUCGAGUGACUCUGCGCCGAAAAUUUAACGGGGCUAAACUAUACACCGAAGCUUGGGAUACAUCUAAUGUAUGGUAGGAGAGCGUUCUGUAUGGGGAGAAGUCGUAGCGAAAGCGGCGGUGGACUAUACAGAAGUGAGAAUGCCGGAAUAAGUAGCGAGAAUUAAGUGAGAAUCUUAAUGGCCGAAAGUCUAAGGUUUUUGGAGGAAGGUUCGUCCGCUCCAAGUAAGUCGGGAGCUAAGGUCAGGCCGAAAGGCGUAGCCGAUGCACAUACGGUUGAUAUUCCGUAACCAUCUGUAAUUUAAGCAAAGGGACACUUCAAAAGGGUGUGACCCGGGCGUUGGUUGACCCGGGCGUAAGGGACCGAAAUUAGAGUAGGGAAGCACACUUAGCUGAAGGCGAGAAAAGCUUUGCGUAUAGAAGCAGAUGCCCGUACCGCAAACCGACACAGGUGGACAGGAAGAGAAUUCUAAGGCCAGCGGGAGAAGGGUAGUUAAGGAACUCGGCAAAUUGACUCCGUAACUUCGGAAUAAGGAGUGCUCGAAAGAGCCGCAGAGAAUAGGCCCAGGCGACUGUUUAGCAAAAACACAGGUCUCUGCCAAAUCGAAAGAUGAAGUAUAGGGGCUGACACCUGCCCGGUGCCGGAAGGUUAAGAGGAGGAGUGAGAGCUCCGAAUUGAAGCCCCGGUAAACGGCGGCCGUAACUAUAACGGUCCUAAGGUAGCGAAAUUCCUUGUCGGGUAAGUUCCGACCCGCACGAAUGGUGUAACGAUCUGGGCACUGUCUCAACUACCCACCCGGCGAAAUUGUAGUACCGGUGAAGAUGCCGGUUACCUGCGGCAAGACGGAAAGACCCCAUGGAGCUUUACUGUAGCCUGAUAUUGGGUUUCGGAAAUCUAUGUACAGGAUAGGCGGGAGACUGGGAAACAUGAGCGUCAGCUUGUGUGGAGUCGAUGUUGGGAUACCGCCCUUAGGUUUCUGGAAUUCUAACCUGCGGCCGUGAAACCGGUCGGGGGACAUUGUCAGGUGGGCAGUUUGACUGGGGCGGUCGCCUCCGAAAAGGUAACGGAGGCGCUCAAAGGUUAGCUCAGCACGGACGGAAACCGUGCCUCUGAGUGUAAACGCAAAAGCUAGCCUAACUGCGAGGGUGACGGCCCGAGCAGUAACGAAAGUUGGAGUUAGUGAUCCGGCGGUAUGUGAAUGGAAAUGCCGUCGCUCAACGGAUAAAAGCUACCCUGGGGAUAACAGGCUGAUCU
rnacentral:rRNA from 1 species